GGUCAUGGCUCAGUGGUAGAGAAUUUGCCUAGCAAGCAUGAGGCACUGGGUUUAAUUCCCAGCACCA
rnacentral:tRNA from 1 species